ensembl:lncRNA
UAUAUCCCAUCAUCUUUGUAUUAGCAGCCAAAGUGAAAGGCUCUAGACUGUAUUAAAAAAAAAAAAAAGUAAUAAAGCUUCAUCUUUUUUCAUUUUGGGACUCAAAGCAAAAGCUCCGAACAUUCUGUUUACCAUUUUUAUUACACAAUAUUGGCAUUCUUAAAGUCUGGAAUGAAACCUUUUUUCGUUUUUUUUUUUUAUUCAUUAAAGUGCUCAGUAUCAAUGGACUGUUUCUUACUUUCCAUGUAUUACGACAAAACAUUAAGCCGAGGAUAUCUGUUGCCAUUGUUAAAGCACUGCGUUCUUGUGUGACUGGAAAUCCACUCUCUUCAUUGCUCCCUUUUGUACGCCCUCCAUGAAGCCAACUGGCUUCAGCUGUUGACAGAUAACAAGUGAGAACAAGAAGAGGUGUUAAAAAAAACUGCCAGGAAAGUCUCCAAGCAGUGCUCAGUGUGAGCAGACCUCUCUCGUUAGCCACCCCAGGAGAAAGCUCUGGCCAAAGCAACACGCCUCCGUCUCAGAUGCCUGUGCUGUCCUGUGAGACUCCUCGUUCUUCUGGGCUCUGCUGGUCUGUUGAGUCCAGCUCUGUCUGAUAGAACUGCUGCUUUGCUUCUGAUUCCUGUUGUUGCCUGCCGCAUUGUGAGUUCUACACACCACGCAGCAAAAGAAGCAAUGACAAAUCUGAGAGCUGUGGAGUGAAACUGUGCUAGAAUUUGCUAAUGGGAGAUGGAGGAAGACGAGCAUAGUGAAACAUGGCCAGGCCCAGAGAAUGCAUGUGAGGUGGCUUGAAGAAAUGUAUCAGACCAAGGGAAUAAGAAGGUGAAAUCCUGAGAAUUAUGUCCCAGCUGUGACAUGGCAGACCAGAGGUGAUGCUUUAGAAGCACAGGGUGUAUGCAUUCUUAUAUUCCUUUGCCCUCUUUGUAUCUGAACUGACCCAUCUGCUUCCACUCCCCCAGGAAGCCAACAGCAGUUUCAAAACAUCCCUAGGAGAUUCCAGGAGUGUAGAACAAAGGACAUACUCAAAAACUCAGUGAAGGUCACUUGUGAUUUUGAAGCAAGACUGCUGUAGGUAAAUGGCUCUUGGAGAGGCAGGUAAUUCGGCAUCAGCAGGACUGGUUGCCCAUGCAGCUUGGGAGCUGAUGGCUUGUUCUAUGCAAAGUAAAUGAGCCUCAUACUAAUUUGUCAUCAGCCCAUAAAAAUGUGAACUCUACUGUGACCAAACCAGAUUAGUGCUGUACUCAAUGGCAGCAGUGCUCAGAGCAAAUAAGGCCAAAUCAGGUCAUAAAACCCUUUAACUUGUUUUAAAGUGUCCCUCGUAGUGCAUUGGAUGAAAUCUGGCUUUCAACAUGGUUUUGCUACUGUCACAACCCAGCAGAGAUGCCCUUUAGCUACAGUUGGAUUUAACGCUGACAUCAAUCUCUGUUGACAGAUCCCAUUGCUGCUGUGUGGGUCCAUCAGGCUCAGCAUAGCUUUUCACUGGCAUCAGCAAUCAUGAGAUUUGCCCCAGGAAUGUCCAGGAACCAGCUGCACACCCAAGUCAACAAAGCCACUGCUUCUGCCAGCGCUAAACAGAGGUACAGGAAGGUGUAAAUCCUGAGCCUAAGUGUUCAAAGGGGUUGCCUCAACUACUCCACAAACCUAUAGGCAUCCACAGAAAAAUCACCUUUGUGUGCCUGAGCAACUUGUCUCUGUAUGUUGCUUUCCUCUCCUGUCAGUUCUGCCAGUUAUACUGAGUGUAAAAGCCUGGUUCCAGUUAUCUGUCCCACAUUUAGCAACCAUGCUCUCAUUGCUCUUGAGCUGCAGCAGAGAGGACGGGACCAAGUUGGUCGAAGAAUCUCUAGCUCCUCUGUAGCUCAGCACUCUCUAGGUAAAAUACUGAACAAAAAAAGAAGGGGAGCCUGCCAGUGAAGAAGUCCAAACAGAGAAGGCAGUGGAUAUUCUACUCUUUCCAAGUCAUUACUUCACUCAGCACAGCCUGUUAUUUGGAGAGCCCAUGGAAAGCUGUCCAGGCAGGGAAGCAUGCUGUUGCUGAGAGGUCUGCCUCUAUCCGUCAGUAAUGGGUGCUUGUGUGAGCAGAGCAUUUGCAAGGAAUUUUACAAGGCUGCAAAGUCCUGCCUGCUCUAAAAUUAAAGAUCUGAAUUCAGCAGAGCAAAUGGAUAUUACCUUGACUUGAAAGUGUUGAAAUUUCUGGAACUUGAGGUCUUGCUUGUAGUAUCUACUGAUGGAUGACAUCUAUUUCAAAGCAAAAAUUCACUCAUCCCUACCUGAAUGGGCUCCUCGGUCACGGGGAUCAUGACCUCUUAGGAGUGAUACUGAAGGAAGCUUACCAUGGGUUGGCUGUCUGCUCACAGCUUCUGCAAGACAGGUGCUCAGCUCUUUGCAGGGACAAAGUUGCUCCUGCUUGUUGCUGUUCUGGCACACCAACUCCAUAUAAAGACAAGAGAGGAGCUCCAAAGGUAUUACAGUAAAGGAGAUCAGUCUCUGAUCUUUCAUAUCUUCAGUAUAAAACAAGUCUGAAAUCUCCUGAGUAACGCUACUUAAUUUAACCCAAAAUCUAGUAACCAGUAGCUGCAACCCUUGUCCUCAUCUGAAAGAGAUUUGCCACUUACUGUAAUGAAGACAAAAAACAUCUUUUACUGCUUUCGUUGCCUGCAGUCCAACACAUUGUGAAGAGCUUGAUCAUAGAGCAGAAGCGUAUUUUCUAUUCCAUUUGCAUCAGUGAAAUAACUGUUCUUUCCUCGGAUUAAAGCACAGCACAGGAGGUCAAAGGUCAUGCUUUGACCUUUCGUUUGACUGGUCUCCAUAAAAGAACAUAACCAUCGAGCUGGAAAUCCCCUCCUCAACGUUUCUCGGUCCCCCGUGGGUCGCUGCGGCCGCCUCCUUCACGCAGGCGGGUGCCCGGUGCUGGCCAUGGUGCUGAAGCGCCUCUGCCGCCCUGCCAGCAUCCCAAACCUCCGCGGGAUGGCUUCUUCGGGAUUGCUUCUUGCGAUCAGCCUCUACAGGGACAAAGUGCAAAGGGAUGGUUACUACUGGACAGAAUUUAGAUAUCGCUCCGAGUUUCACCCUGUGGUAAUCAGGAGAUGGCUACAGCUACCCGAUACCACAGCGCGACUGGGAGCAAAGUGGAUUCAGAUGUCAGGGUCUGUUACACUCAGCACAAAGCUGCUCUGUGUAAAGAAUGCUGUAAAAUAAAACACUUAUAAAAUACUAUUUUGUGGUUUUGUUU